rnacentral:rRNA from 1 species
UACGGGGGGGGCAAGCGUUGUUCGGAAUUACUGGGCGUAAAGGGUUCGUAGGUGGCCCGCUAAGUCACACGUGAAAUCCCUCAGCUUAACUGGGGAACUGCGUGUGAGACUGGCAGGCUUGAGUGCAGGAGAGGAACGCGGAAUUCCAGGUGUAGCGGUGAAAUGCGUAGAUAUCUGGAGGAACACCGGUGGCGAAGGCGGCGUUCUGGACUGUAUCUGACACUGAUGAACGAAAGCCAGGGGAGCAAACGGG